UACGAAGGGGGCUAGCGUUGCUCGGAAUCACUGGGCGUAAAGGGUGCGUAGGCGGGUCUUUAAGUCAGGGGUGAAAUCCUGGAGCUCAACUCCAGAACUGCCUUUGAUACUGAAGAUCUUGAGUUCGGGAGAGGUGAGUGGAACUGCGAGUGUAGAGGUGAAAUUCGUAGAUAUUCGCAAGAACACCAGUGGCGAAGGCGGCUCUCUGGUCCGGACCUGACGCUGAGGCGCGAAAGCGUGGGGAGCGAACAGG
rnacentral:rRNA from 1 species